rnacentral:tRNA from 1 species
UCAGUCGAGCCAGAUUUGAACCAGCGACCUAAGGAUCACCGCUUAAUUACAUCUACAGUCCUCCGCUCUGCCAACUGAGCUAUCGAGGGAUACAAACCG